rnacentral:lncRNA from 1 species
UUUUUCAGGGGGGCUAGAAUGAAAAAUUUUGUCCUGCUUUUUUUUUAGUUGUAAUCUCUGUCCUGCCUUUUUAUUUUUUACUCUAUUCGGUCCUGCCAUUUUUUUUACUAGUUUAUCCUGACUUUUUUUACACAAAUUGUCAUCCUGCCUUUUUUUUAACAAGUUUCUUAUCCUGUCUUUUUUUUACUCAAAACUUCUGUCCUGCCUAUUUUUUUCAAAUUUCAUCCUAGCCCCCCAUAAAAAUCAAAU